CAUCAAAUAGCUUAAAGUAAGCAUGAGCCUCUUAAGCUUUGUGAAUGUCAAUUUACGACUGACUUUGAUG
rnacentral:tRNA from 1 species